rnacentral:rRNA from 1 species
AACGAACGCUGGCGGCAUGCCUAGCACAUGCAAGUCGAACGAGACCUUCGGGUCUAGUGGCGCACGGUUGCGUAACGCGUGGGAACCUGCCUUUAGGUUCGGAAUAACUCAGAGAAAUUUGAGCUAAUACCGGAUGAUGUCUUCGGACCAAAGAUUUAUCGCCUUUAGAUGGGCCCGCGUUGGAUUAGCUAGUUGGUGGGGUAAAGGCCUACCAAGGCGACGAUCCAUAGCUGGUCUGAGAGGAUGAUCAGCCACACUGGGACUGAGACACGGCCCAGACUCCUACGGGAGGCAGCAGUGGGGAAUAUUGGACAAUGGGCGAAAGCCUGAUCAAGCAAUGCCGCGUGAGUGAUGAAGGCCUUAGGGUUGUAAAGCUCUUUUACCCGAGAUGAUAAUGACAGUAUCGGGAGAAUAAGCUCCGGCUAACUCCGUG